AUCGCUACUCUCUUUCGACUUCUCCGCCUCCUGAACUUCUGGAAACUUCCGGAUAGCCUCCACCGUUGGAUUAAUCGACACGUCAUCGAUUUUCUCAACAAAUCCGGUAUAAUCAGAAACCACAUGAACCACGUUUAAAUAACCGGAAUCGAUAUCAGAAGGUAAAUGAACCGGUACCGGUAUCGGUAUUGGAGUCACUACUUCCGAGAUCUCAGAGUCAUCGACGGAGGACGAUUUAUGAGUGAGUUUAGAAGUAGCGAUGAUGCAGACGAUGAUAGAGUUGAUGACUAAGUAAAGAUACGGUGGUUUUAAGAGGAAGACGGUGUUAUCGUAAAUAAUCGGAA